AUUGAACGCUGGCGGCAGGCCUAACACAUGCAAGUCGAACGAGUGGCGGACGGGUGAGUAAUGUCUGGGAAACUGCCUGAUGGAGGGGGAUAACGACGGGAAACGGUCGCUAAUACCGCAUACCAUAGGAUGUGCCCAAGUGGGAUUAGGUAGUUGGUGGGGUAAGGGCCCACCAAGGCGACGAGCGCUAGCUGGUCUGAGAGGAUGACCAGCCACACUGGAACUGGGACACGGCCCGGACUCCUACGGGAGGCAGCAGUGGGGAAUAUUGGGCAAUGGGCGCAACCCUGAUCCAGCCAUGCCGCGUGAUUGAAGAAGGUCUUCGGGUUGUAAAGUACUUGCAGUUAGGAGGCGUUACCAACAGAAGAAGCACCGGCUAACUCCGUGCCAGCCGCCGCGGUAAUAC
rnacentral:rRNA from 1 species